ACUACAUCUUCUACUGUCCCUGUUGAAGUGGCAACAGACCUGUUGGUUUUUGUAAAGCAUAAUUUCUGUAAUGUGGUCUGCUGACACAGUUUGCUCCACACCAGGAGGACGAACUUGAGGACAACUGUUAAUGACAGAACUAGUUAUUUUUCUCUUACAGCCUCUAUUACGUGAGGCUCUACCGGGGUCCACGGGGGAGCCCCUGAUACCACCUGAGGCUUUAGGUAAAGCGUCUGACCUAUUCCAGUGCCAUGGCUGACAGGUGUUUGGUGCUGUGAUUUUUCUUGCGUGUGUAAACUUUCAGAAAAGCUGGAGACAAAAGGAUGAGGGAGUUUGGUUUAGAGCCGACGAAGUUCCAGAUACCAGCCGAGGAAGCCUCUGCCCUACCUCUCUUUCGAGGAGCGAGUUCAGUUGCUGAGUUGUGCACCGUGGUUGGAAACCGGAUCUAUUCACCACCACCCACCCUCCCUCACCCUGCACAUGACGCUCACGAGCGCAAAGGCUGUCGGGAAAGUGGUCUCUGUUCCUUCGCACCUGGGAAUUACUUGGUGACCUGGUGAAUGGCAUGGGCAAGGUAGCCCACAUUGCCAGAGGUGACCCCUGCCACGGAGAUUCGGCCAUCCUUUGUCAUGUAGACCGAGAACUCCUUGGUCAGCCGCUCCACCUGCUCUGGCUUUAGGCCGGUGAAACAGAACAUGCCGAUCUGGUCGGUGAUGUGCUGCCAGUUGUGGGAAGAGCCCUCUUUCUUCAGGUUGGAGACCAGCUGGGUCCUCAUGCUGAUGAUGCGGUCAGCCAUGCCUUUCACCUCUUGCAACCAUUGCUUCCGCAAGUCUGGAGAAGUCAGGAUGGUUGCUGUGAUCCGGGCCCCAUUGAGAGGUGGGUUGGAAUACAGGGGACGGAUCAAGAUCUUCAGCUGUGACUCCACCCUUUUGGCUUCUUCUGCAUCUUUGCAGACCACCGUGAAGGCUCCCACACGCUCACCGUACAGGCCCAUGUUCUUGGCAUACGAUUGGCAGAGGCAGACAUUGAUGCCCUGCUCGAUGAAGUGCCGCACGGCCCAGGCAUCCUUAUCACCAUCACCGCUGGCAAAGCCUUGGUAGGCCAUGUCAAAGAAUGCGAAGAGAUUCUUUUUCUUCACCACGGACGCUAUCUCCUUCCACUGCUCGGGACGAGGGUCCACGCCUGUGGGGUUGUGAGCGCAGGCAUGCAGGAGGAGGACACUCUGCUCUGGGAUUUUUGAUAUGUCUUCUAGGGCUCCGGAGAAGUCAAAACCGCAAGUCUUGGGGUCAUAGUAGCGAUAACCUUGGAGCUGCAUGCCGGCAUCCCUGAAGAUGGGCGUGUGAUUCCCCCAGGACGGUUUGGGCAGAAAGACAUCUUGGCUGAACUUAAAAAACCUUUGCAGAAAACUGGCCCCGACCCUUAAGGCUCCAGUCCCGGAAAUGGUCUGCACAGUGACGAACCGGCCGCUUUUCAACACUUCGUUGUUCUCGCCCAGGGCCAGUUCUGCAGAAGCCUUACAGAAUUCAGCCAGUCCCCCAAUGGGCAGGUAUUCCUUGUCCAAAUUUUUUGCAGCAAUCUGGGCCUCUGCCUUCCGGACACUGGGGAGCACGUAAGGUUUUCCGUUAUCAUCCCGGUAGAGUUUGUCAGAGAUUAUGAGAUGCCCAAAACUUGUCUGUGCUCCAACUAAAGCAACUCAUCUGUGGUCAUGUAAAGAGCAGGAAGAUACUGUCCUGAAGCAUUCAAAGGGCUGCACAGAAAAGUUUUGGAGGAUUUUGACAACAGCAAGCUUCAUGUUAAUGAGAGCAAACCUCAUGCCAAGGCAGUUUCUAGGACCGUUUCCAAAAGAUGACCCUGACCCAUAGUCAAGAAGGAUAGUGAGAAUGGCUCUGAGGUUGAGAGCACUGAGUGGUCUUCCAAAGGUGCCAAGUUCAGUUCUCAGCAACCACAUGAUGGUUCACAACCAUGGUAUCUCCUGACAUGCAAGCAGAACACUAUGCACAUACUAAAAUAAAUCUUUAAAAAAAGAAUGAGCAUAUGAACUUUCUAGGAAAUAGAUUACUUGGCUUUGGAGGAAUCAUCCACUAAAUGUGUGUGAAGGAGCAAUCCUCAUGAAGGAGAGAGAGACACAACACUAAGAGGAGGUAUAUUCACAUUUAUCCUCAGCGAGACUGCUUCAACUAGCAAAAGCUGACUUUCUGCAACUUCUAAAUGCACAAAUGAGUAAUUCAAUGGAUUCCUAUAUUUGAUAAAUGAUUCCUGUAUUUGGGCAUGUGUCUGGAGAGUUCUACUACCAUUAAGGACAACUUCAAAGAAACAUAAACAUAACAACUUUAAUAAAGCAUUAAUUUCCUAAUC